GCCUAGGUGGUGGAACUGGUAGACACGCAGGACUUAAAAUCCUGUUCCUGUUAAAGGAGUGCGGGUUCGAUUCCCGCCCUAGGUAC
rnacentral:tRNA from 2 species